GACGAACGCUGGCGGCGUGCCUAAUACAUGCAAGUCGAACGCAGUGGGGACGGGUGAGUAACACGUGGGUAACCUCCCAUCAGAGGGGAUAACACUUGGAAACAGGUGCUAAACCGAUACUGAUGGAUGAACCCGCGGUGCAUUAGCUAGUUGGUGAGGUAACGGCUCACCAAGGCCAGGAUGCAUAGCCGACCUGGGAGGGAGAGCGGCCACCCUGGCACUGAGACACAGCCGAGACUCCUACAUGAGGCAGCAGUAGGGAAUCUUCGGCAAUGGACGAAAGUCGGACCGAGCAACGCCGCGUGAGUGAAGAAGGUUUUCGGAUCGUAAAACUCUGAUGUUAGUGAUGCGGUAUCUAACCAGAAAGCCACGGCUAACUACGUGCCAGCAGCCGCGGUAAUUC
rnacentral:rRNA from 1 species